CCACCAUCAGGCCUUCAUGAUUCCUCCACAAUCCUGUGGUAUCCUGUGUUGCACCUCGGUCACGCCAUAACUGUUUGUCUAUUUCAGAGGCCACUUCUUGCAUUGAGACUAUGUCUUUGAGGGUGAUUUUAUCUUCUAAGUCUACUUCAUGAGUGACCAGAAGAACUUUGCCUUCUUUAUCUGCCCCUGUAACAGCUUUUGCAGCCUCAUCAGCUGCUCUGUUGCCCUGACUUACUCUUGACAUGUCCCCUUUAUGUGCUGCACACUUAGCUAUUGCUAUUUCUUUUGGCUUCAUCAUUGCAUGCAGCAAUUUGGUUAUCUGGGCAUGAUGCUGUAUAGGAGACCCAUCUGUUUUCUUAAAUCCCCGAUUUUUCCACAGUGCUCCGAACAAGUGACAAACAUUAUGUGCAUAUGCAGAGUUUGUGUAAAUUGUCACUCGUUUGUCUUCUGCCAAAAGACAUGCUUCGGUUAGUCCUACAAGUUCAGCCAGCUGUGCAGAUGCUGGUUGUUGCACUGUUUUUGCCUUUUCGACAACAAAUCCAUCUCCUUCAGCUUUUACAACUGCAUAGCCAGCGCUCAAUUUGUCUCCUAUCCGAUAACACGACCCAUCAGUCCAAUACUCUACAUCUGAUUUCUGAAGUGGAAGGGCUUGCAAGUCUGACCGUAGUUUUGAAUGUCUCUCUGAUUCCUUCACACAAUCAUGUG